rnacentral:rRNA from 1 species
AGUGAACGCUGGCGGUAGGCCUAACACAUGCAAGUCGAACGGCAGCACAGUAAGAGCUUGCUCUUACGGGUGGCGAGUGGCGGACGGGUGAGGAAUACAUCGGAAUCUACUUUUUCGUGGGGGAUAACGUAGGGAAACUUACGCUAAUACCGCAUACGACCUACGGGUGAAAGCAGGGGAUCUUCGGACCUUGCGCGAUUGAAUGAGCCGAUGUCGGAUUAGCUAGUUGGCGGGGUAAAGGCCCACCAAGGCGACGAUCCGUAGCUGGUCUGAGAGGAUGAUCAGCCACACUGAAACUGAGACACGGCCCAGCCCCCGACGGGAGGCAGAGGUGGGGAAUUUUGGAAAAGGGGCGCAAUCCUGAUCCAGCCAUACCGGGUGGGUGAAGAAGGCCUUCGGGUUGUAAAGCCCUUUUUUUGGGAAAAAAAAGCGGCAGGUUAAACCCCCGCUGUUCGGACGGUACCCAAAAAAAAAGCACCGGCUAACUUCGG